GAUGAACGCUAGCGGCAGGCUUAACACAUGCAAGUCGAGGGGUAACAGGAGAUAGCUUGCUAUUUUGCUGACGACCGGCGCACGGGUGCGUAACGCGUAUAGAACCUACCUUUUACAGGGGAAUAGCCCAGAGAAAUUUGGAUUAAUGCCCCAUAGUAUUAUAGAAUGGCAUCAUUUUAUAAUUAAACAUUUAUGGGUAAAAGAUGGCUAUGCGUUCUAUUAGCUAGAUGGUAAGGUAACGGCUUACCAUGGCAACGAUAGAUAGGGGUCCUGAGAGGGAGAUCCCCCACACUGGUACUGAGACACGGACCAGACUCCUACGGGAGGCAGCAGUGAGGAAUAUUGGACAAUGGAGGCAACUCUGAUCCAGCCAUGCCGCGUGCAGGAAGACGGUCCUAUGGAUUGUAAACUGCUUUUAUACAGGAAGAAACCUCUCCACGUGUGGAGAGCUGACGGUACUGUAAGAAUAAGCACCGGCUAACUCCGUGCCAGCAGCCGCGGUAAUACGGAGGGUGCAAGCGUUAUCCGGAAUCAUUGGGUUUAAAGGGUCCGUAGGCGGACUAAUAAGUCAGGGGUGAAAUCCAACAGCUUAACUGUUGAACUGCCUUUGAUACUGUUAGUCUUGAAUUAUAUGGAAGUAGAUAGAAUGUGUAGUGUAGCGGUGAAAUGCUUAGAGAUUACACAGAAUACC
rnacentral:rRNA from 1 species